CCUACGGGUGGCAGCAGUAGGGAAUCUUCCACAAUGGGCGAAAGCCUGAUGGAGCAACGCCGCGUGGGUGAAGAAGGUCUUCGGAUCGUAAAACCCUGUUGUCAGAGAAGAAAGUGCGUGAGAGUAACUGUUCACGUUUCGACGGUAUCUUACCAGAAAGCCACGGCUAACUACGUGCCAGCAGCCGCGGUAAUACGUAGGUGGCAAGCGUUAUCCGGAUUUAUUGGGCGUAAAGGGAACGCAGGCGGUCUUUUAAGUCUGAUGUGAAAGCUUUCGGCUUAACCGGGGUAGUGCAUUGGAAACUGGGAAACUGGAGUGCAGAAGAGGAGAGUGGAACUCCAAGUGUAGCGGUGAAAUGCGUAGAUAUAUGGAAGAACACCAGUGGCGAAAGCGGCUCUCUGGUCUGUAACUGACGCUGAGGUUCGAAAGCGUGGGGAGCAAACAGGAUUAGAUACCCGAGUAGUC
rnacentral:rRNA from 1 species